UGCAGCUGGAUGGCUUCAAGUUCUGUCAUGCAAGGGUGGGAGCACAACAAAACCUCCACCCGAUGAGUCCACAGCUUUGCUGUGUGCAGCCUCCUGUCAGCAUCUGUGCUGAUAGGUCCCAGUACUGUGUGACUUGGGGUUGAUUUCAUACUCCAUCCAGCUCUUGUCUUUGUAGAAUUAGAAUCAUUACAGUUGAAAAGACCACCCAGAUCAUCUAGUCCAACCAUCAACCUGUCGCCACCCUAGCAGUAAACCAUAUCCCUCAGUGUGAUAUCUGCUCUUUUCUUAAAAACCUUCAUGUACACUUUUAGCCAUUUACAAUGUCAGCGCAGAUGAAGAGGUGUUGUACUUCCUCAUGAGAUGCUGUACUUUGAAGAAUCUGCUUUAUCCUGAAUGCAAGAGUAAUGCUAAUGCUUCAGGCAAAAUUAUAAGCUACUUGCAUCCAUGGAACGAAGUUGCACAGCUAGCUUCAACCUGGGGACUUAUCAUUUCAUGAGCUGUUGCGUUGCUAACAAGACACAGACGUUGCCGUUGGACAAACAGGGGCAAGAUUGUUUUGCUGUUUGUUCUGCAGCCAUUCCUAGCAGCACUGCUGAGCAUGGCUUAGACAGAUCUCUCUUUCUGGGAGGUUCAAACAGUAUGGUAUUUUUAGCUGGAGGUGAAAGGGGGCAUACCCAUCCUCUGUUGUAACAUUAUGGAAGUUCCCAGCAACCCCAACAGGAACCAGAGCCAGGGAGCAGAUCCUGAGCUGUUUUAAACAGGCAGGAACUAGCUGAUCUCCUUGAAAUACGUGGGUUUUCAUUAGCUGAGGACCUGGGCUCGUAUGAAGCAGGAGAAAGGACCCACUUAUGCCCUACCUCACAUGGAUGCGAUUGUAAACACAUUGGAACAGGUGGUUUCCAAACUCCACUCUGCAGCAUUUUUAGAGGAGGACACUUCUGAGGUAUGCCAAGACUUUCUCGUCCAAAGGACUAAAUGCAUUGUGCUGCCUCCAUUCCAGCUAGCUGGAGCUGAAGGAAGAGAAACAAAAAUUCACAAGGAUGAGAAGGUGAAGGGAAAUCCUUAAGACCACUCUUCAAGUGGAGGAAGCAGGAUAGAAGACUCAUAAUCAUGUCCUAACAGCGCUUCCAUGACUGAGAGAUAAUGGACACAUCUGCAUCAUGAUCAAAAGUAUAGUGUGAGCCUAUCUGAGCUUACUUCAGAAAUUCAGGCUUGACCUCUGAGGGUUUAUGCUAAUGUAUUUGGUGUUCAUUCAGUAUCUAGCAUAGUGGUCCAUGAUCCAUCACUGUGCUCCCAAGGUGCUCCUGCAAGACAGAUUUCAGCCACCGUUCCCUUUGUAUAGGUACCUUUACCUGUGAAUCUGAAGAGAAUGCUGUGUGGACUGUGAAUUCCUGUCAGAAGACACGGAACUACUAGAAUAUCAGCAAGAAAACUAAACAUCAUGCAGGACAGACCUGUAUCCACCAUACAGAACAUAAAAAAUGAGGAGCAUCUGCAUAAUACAGUGUUGCUUACAGAAAGCUAAAGAAAGAGUAAGCAGGGCAAAGGGCAUUAUAUUUUCAAUCUGCUAGUUAAAAAAUGAAUUCCUGUAAGAACUACUACUAAGCAACCACUAGCAAGAUAUAGCUGGGAUGUGGAGCUCUGUCUAUUUGUGUCCUGUGGUCUGCCCAGAAUGAUCAGUAUUAGCUGCAAAAAUAUUUUGCUGACAUGUAUGAGUAGGAUUAGCCUGAAGAGUUAUCUUUGUUGAUGAACUAAAUGAACAGUUUCAAGAGGUUUAGAAGAAUACUGUUUGAAGACACGGCCAGUAAGAGGGUAAUCUGUGUCUAAAAGCUUAAGAUUUUGUCUCCUGAGACCAGAGGUGUAUGUUAUGUAAGAAAAAAAAAUCUUCAUACCAAUGCCCAUAAAUUUUCACAAAUAAAUAAAAAUAAACGUUACAAGACC
ensembl:lncRNA